GCCUACAGUAAUAACCUGAGAAUUUGAAAACUUUUUAUGUUGACAAAAGAAAAAGAAAUCCUUCAUCGAGGAAAUUACAAUUUAAACAUUUAUUGAUCUGAUUUCAGUUAAUUUAUUUGUACACGAAGAAGUUGCAAAAUCUUAGCUUUAUUCUAUCUCUAAUGCAUUCUCAUUGCGAAAUUUAGUCUACGAUCACUAGCUGUUUCGACUUACCGAAGCUUCAGCCAAUGCAAGGACAAAUAUUGCUGUAGAGUAAAUAAAUUUUGACAUGAUGCUGGAAGCAUCGAAAAUAAACCGACUGUGGAAUCAUGGAAAUAUCAUAUUACACUCGCAAGAACAACUUAAAAGUAAGCCGAGUGACGAUCUGAUAAAUCAACGUCGAUUACAGAGUAGUGUAUACACCCUCCGAUUGCUUGAUAACGUCGUAUUUAGGUGAAGGCACGUAAGUUAUGCUUUCUAAUAGACGAUCGAGGAGGCAUUUUGCAAGCCCCGUUCGACCGCGGUCCUCCGCAGUUCGCGAUUGUGGUUAAGUGCGCGGUUCCGAGUGCGGUUGAGUGCGGGAUCUUUGCAGUGUUGUGGUUUUUUCACCCGUUCGGCAGGAGGCAAAUGCUCGUCAUCACAGGAUAAACAAUGGCGAAGACCAGCGCGGAACUCCCUAAGGAGUCGGACAAGAAAGGGUUGCAAGUUGUAUCAACAAGACAUUACGAGGCGCCUGCCCCCACAAAUCUAAACACCGAACUUGUCGAUCCGGAGAACACUAUUGCCACUACCAAAGAAGGUGAGUUUCUUUCUAUUAUAUUUUUGAUAGUGGCGUAGCCAGGAGGGGGGGUCAAGGGGGUUCGAAUCCCCGCUCAUUACUGGACAAUUUGCCUCCCGAAAAGCGUAAUUUGUCUUGAUUAUAAGGGAGAUUUAUCUUUAGACCUCCCCCUCUCUUCAUGUCAAAUAAAGCCCACGCCAAAUAAAUUUGCGCACUUCUAGACUGCGACAGAAGAUCGUCUGACGUCUCUCUUACGCAUUUUUAGAAUAUGUGACAGAAGAUCC
rnacentral:lncRNA from 1 species